AAACCGUUCAGGGGUAAACCUGAGGAACCCGAAAGAUCGAAUGGGAAGAUUCAGCGUCAGCGGCGCUUGCUCGGCGGGAUCGUGCGUCGUCUCGGAUCGGAUUCUUCGGUCCUGGGAUGACGUUAAUCUUUCCAUGCCUUGUUUCGGCGUCGUCGUCGUGCACUUCUUCCCUAGUAGAACGUCGCGACCCGUUGGGUGCCGGUCUACGGUACGAGCGGGUUAGACUGUCGCGUCGCUUAGGCGCACGCGGCAGACCCUCGUUAAUCCGGCCGGCUGCCCGGCGGUCGAACUUUAUAAGGUAUCUUGCCGCAAUUGAACUAAAUGCGUCGCGGCCCGUCGCAAGCGAGGUCAGUUAAGCGUUCAUCGCGCGCGCGGAGUUACGGACCCGGUGCCGUACCCGCGGCUGGCCGGCUGUUGGCAGACGGAGUCCUUCGACGGGCAAUACACACAAACGAUACCGGUCUGCGACGCUACUGCUUUGGGUACUCUCAGGACCCGUCUUGAAACACGGACCAAGGAGUCUAACAUGUGCGCGAGUCAUUGGGACUGCGAAGCCUAAAGGCGAAAUGAAAGUGAAGGUCGCGCCAACCAAGGUCGACCGAGGGAGGAUGGGCCGCGUUUGCGCGCGGCUCCGCACUCCCGGGGCGUCUCGUUCUCAUUGCGAGAAGAGGCGCACCCAGAGCGUACACGUUGGGACCCGAAAGAUGGUGAACUAUGCCUGGUCAGGACGAAGUCAGGGGAAACCCUGAUGGAGGUCCGUAGCGAUUCUGACGUGCAAAUCGAUCGUCGGAACUGGGUAUAGGGGCGAAAGACUAAUCGA
rnacentral:rRNA from 1 species